CCUACGGGAGGCAGCAGUGGGGAAUAUUGGACAAUGGGGGCAACCCUGAUCCAGCCAUGCCGCGUGUGUUAAGAAGGCCCUCGGGUUGUAAAGCACUUUCAGUGAGGAAGAACGCCUGGUGGUUAAUACCCAUCAGGAAAGACAUCACUCACAGAAGAAGCACCGGCUAACUCCGUGCCAGCAGCCGCGGUAAUACGGAGGGUGCGAGCGUUAAUCGGAAUUACUGGGCGUAAAGCGCGCGUAGGUGGCUUGAUAAGCCGGUUGUGAAAGCCCCGGGCUCAACCUGGGAACGGCAUCCGGAACUGUCAAGCUAGAGUGCAGGAGAGGAAGGUAGAAUUCCCGGUGUAGCGGUGAAAUGCGUAGAGAUCGGGAGGAAUACCAGUGGCGAAGGCGGCCUUCUGGACUGACACUGACACUGAGGUGCGAAAGCGUGGGUAGCAAACAGGAUUAGAUACCCCAGUAGUC
rnacentral:rRNA from 1 species